rnacentral:rRNA from 1 species
GUAUGCAGCUAUGUCACCCUGCAACUCACAAUUGGAAACCCACUAAAGAUAAGCAGGUGUGAGCCUGGCCAGUACCUUGAUGGGAGACCUCCUGGGAAAGCUAAAGUUGCUGCUGGGA